AGAGUUUGAUCCUGGCUCAGGACGAACGCUGGCGGCGUGCCUAACACAUGCAAGUCGAACGGAGUUGAAAGGAGCUUGCUUUUUUCAACUCAGUGGCGGACGGGUGAGUAACGCGUGAGUAACCUGCCUUUCAGAGGGGGAUAACGUUCUGAAAAGAACGCUAAUACCGCAUAAGAUUGUAGCUUCGCAUGGAGCAGCAAUCAAAGGAGCAAUCCGCUGAAAGAUGGACUCGCGUCCGAUUAGAUAGUUGGCGGGGUAACGGCCCACCAAGUCGACGAUCGGUAGCCGGACUGAGAGGUUGAUCGGCCACAUUGGGACUGAGACACGGCCCAGACUCCUACGGGAGGCAGCAGUGAGGGAUAUUGGGCAAUGGGGGAAACCCUGACCCAGCAACGCCGCGUGAGGGAUGACGGUUUUCGGAUUGUAAACCUCUGUCCUCUGUGAAGAUAGUGACGGUAGCAGAGGAGGAAGCUCCGGCUAACUACGUGCCAGCAGCCGCGGUAAUACGUAGGGAGCAAGCGUUGUCCGGAUUUACUGGGUGUAAAGGGUGCGUAGGCGGAUUGGCAAGUCAGAAGUGAAAUCCAUGGGCUUAACCCAUGAACUGCUUUUGAAACUGUUAGUCUUGAGUGAAGUAGAGGUAGGCGGAAUUCCCGGUGUAGCGGUGAAAUGCGUAGAGAUCGGGAGGAACACCAGUGGCGAAGGCGGCCUACUGGGCUUUAACUGACGCUGAGGCACGAAAGUGUGGGUAGCAAACAGGAUUAGAUACCCUGGUAGUCCACACUGUAAACGAUGAUUACUAGGUGUGGGGGGUCUAACCCCCUCCGUGCCGGAGUUAACACAAUAAGUAAUCCACCUGGGGAGUACGACCGCAAGGU
rnacentral:rRNA from 1 species